GCAUGUGUGGCUCAGUUGGUAGAGCAUGGUGUUUGCAACGCCAGCAUGGUGUGUGCAAUGCCAGGGUUGUGGGUUCGAUUCCCACAGGGGGCC
rnacentral:tRNA from 1 species